UGUUUGACUUCCAAGGUUCACCUGUGGAAACAUCCCUGCCUCCUCCCUGCGGGAGAACUAAUGGUACCAGAGAUUUCUAGGAAUUCCCGUCACAGUAAGGCACACAGCUGUGAGUUUCUAAAAGUCUACAGAUUUUCAUCAAAUAAUGAGUCUUCCUGUUUACUCACUAUGGGCCCAACCUCUCAGUGACCAUUCUGACUCACAGAUAUAAACAGCUGUCAUGUCAGUAGUGUUUCCACCACCACUUUGUGAAAUUAGAGCAUUGUCCAACAAAUAAAUGAAGUGUAGAGAAAUGGAGAAACCAAAACUUGACGUGAUCCAUGCAGUCUGCCCCAGCAGCACCAACUGUGCUUUUCUUGGCAUCCUUCACAAACCACCAUAAUCUCCGUGCAAGUUUGCUAGUGGAAUCCUGUCUAGCACCCAGUUACACUUCAGUGGAGCCAAGGUUCUCAAUUCCUCAAUCACUUACACCAGCCAGGGGCUCCUCUGAUGGGCACAUGUGCUUUUCCCACCAGAGCCAUGACUCUCUGCUGAUUUGUGCUGAUUCUACACACUUCUGGUUGUCAGCUUAUAUUUGGAUCCAAGCAGUGAGAUCUGUUCAGACUCCAGGGCCCAUUAAACUUCAUCAUCCUGAAGUUCACUGGCAUAGUUAUUAUUUUCAAGAACACUUAAAGUAUGAAGCCCACAUUCCACAUUUGCUAAGUAUAGCUUUCAUCACUAAGAAAAUUUUCAUAUUCAAAGUAUGAGCUUAGAUUUGAUCUAUGCUUUAUGAAAGAAAUCAUUAGAAAGUCUCCAUUACAGUUGAAUAUAUUCUCUUUAAUUUGUGUUUUUUCAAGAGAUUAGUUAUUUCCAAAAAGAGGAAACAUUAUAUUGAGAAACCAGAAGAUUCGCCUAUAAGAUAACUUUAAACAUAAGCAUCAUUACAUCUUAUUCUGGCCUCACAUCAACUCCAGCUGAUGCUCCGGAGAACAGGAAGGCCUUCAUAACAAUGCCUCUUGUAAGGGUUGUUGUUAUUCUUUUUGUUGUUUUAAACAUAUUUAGAGGAAUCAAUUGAAGAAAACAGCCAGCAAUGAAAAAUUAAGUGAGUGUUUAUAUUUGAGGCAUUACCUCUGUGGGGAUUGCUUUCAUUACAAAUAUGAAUCUUCAUGUUUACACCUUCAUAGUGGGCAUAUUAACUGAAAGAAAAAUCAGUUUCUAUUUACCUUUUCUAUACAAUUCUCUGAGUAGUCCUAAAGUGAUUGAGCAAGUAGGAUGGCAAAUUCCCAGGUGGUUUUUUAAAAUGUGACUAUUUCCAUUUUUGUGAGUUUUUUCUUUUAACAUAUCAAUACCUGACAUCUCUCCACUAUCGGAUCUAUAUCCACUGAGGUCCAAAAAAAUGUCACAAGUAGAGUGUGAAAGGAAAAGUUGGCAUAAUCUUUCUGGAGCUAAUCAAAAAGUACAUAAUAUUCGUAUUCUAAAGAAACGUUAAUCAGUAGAUGAAAUUGAAAAAUCUUGCACUGGCAGUGAGGGUCAGUGAUCUCCCUUCCACUUCCUCCGUGUCUUUGAAAGAGAACAGGGUUGUCAAGUGCCCUAGAAUUAAUGACACCUUUUGAUGGAAGCAUGAGAAGGUCUACACUUCAGAGCCCCCAGCCACAGAACAGGAAAUAGAGCUGUUUCCAAGAGAAAUGAAGUUGCCUUCUCUGGGGGAAACACCGAGGAGC